rnacentral:sRNA from 1 species
ACCUUGGGCGAGGAGUUCGGAGCGGCCCCAUCGCAGAGCCCACGGCCGGCCGAGCGCGCGCGACGCAGGUGCCCGAGCCCCGGCGCCGCCGCCAUCUCUGCCUUCGGUCGAGUUGGACCCCCGGAUCAAGGUGUACUUCUCUGAAGUAAGAUGAUUUGUCAAAAAUUCUGUGUGGUUUUGUUACAUUGGGAAUUUAUUUAUGUGAUAACUGCAUUUAACUUGUCAUAUCCAAUUACUCCUUGGAGAUUUAAGUUGUCUUGCAUGCCACCAAAUUCAACCUAUGACUACUUCCUUUUGCCUGCUGGACUCUCAAAGAAUACUUCAAAUUCGAAUGGACGUUAUGAGACAGCUGUUGAACCUAAGUUUAAUUCAAGUGGUACUCUCUUUUCUAACUUAUCCAAAACAACUUUCCACUGUUGCUUUCGGAGUGAGCAAGAUAGAAACUGCUCCUUAUGUGCAGACAACAUUGAAGGAAAGACAUUUGUUUCAACAGUAAAUUCUUUAGUUUUUCAACGAAUAGAUGCAAACUGGAACAUACAGUGCUGGCUAAAAGGAGACUUAAAAUUAUUCAUCUGUUAUGUGGAGUCAUUAUUUAAGAAUCCAUUCAGGAAUUAUAACUAUAAGGUCCAUCUUUUAUAUGUUCUGCCUGAAGUGUUAGAAGAUUCACCUCUGGUUCCCCCAAAAGGCAGUUUUCAGAUGGUUCACUGCAAUUGCAGUGUUCAUGAAUGUUGUGAAUGUCUUGUGCCUGUGCCAACAGCCAAACUCAACGACACUCUCCUUAUGUGUUUGAAAAUCACAUCUGGUGGAGUAAUUUUCCAGUCACCUCUAAUGUCAGUUCAGCCCAUAAAUAUGGUGAAGCCUGAUCCACCAUUAGGUUUGCAUAUGGAAAUCACAGAUGAUGGUAAUUUAAAGAUUUCUUGGUCCAGCCCACCAUUGGUACCAUUUCCACUUCAAUAUCAAGUGAAAUAUUCAGAGAAUUCUACAACAGUUAUCAGAGAAGCUGACAAGAUUGUCUCAGCUACAUCCCUGCUGGUAGACAGUAUACUUCCUGGGUCUUCGUAUGAGGUUCAGGUGAGGGGCAAGAGACUGGAUGGCCCAGGAAUCUGGAGUGACUGGAGUACUCCUCAUGUCUUUACCACACAAGAUGUAAUAUACUUUCCACCUAAAAUUCUGACAAGUGUUGGGUCUAAUGUUUCUUUUCACUGCAUCUAUAAGAAUGAAAACAAGAUUGUUCCCUCAAAAGAGAUUGUUUGGUGGAUGAAUUUAGCUGAGAAAAUUCCUCAAAGCCAGUAUGAUGUUGUGAGUGAUCAUGUUAGCAAAGUUACUUUUUUCAAUCUGAAUGAAACCAAACCUCGAGGAAAGUUUACCUAUGAUGCAGUGUACUGCUGCAAUGAACAUGAAUGCCAUCAUCGCUAUGCUGAAUUAUAUGUGAUUGAUGUCAAUAUCAAUAUCUCAUGUGAAACUGAUGGGUACUUAACUAAAAUGACUUGCAGAUGGUCAACCGGUACAAUCCAGUCACUUGCGGAAAGCACUUUGCAAUUGAGGUAUCAUAGGAGCAGCCUUUACUGUUCUGAUAUUCCAUCUAUUCAUCCCAUAUCUGAGCCCAAAGAUUGCUAUUUGCAGAGUGAUGGUUUUUAUGAAUGCAUUUUCCAGCCAAUCUUCCUAUUAUCUGGCUACACAAUGUGGAUUAGGAUCAAUCACUCUCUAGGUUCACUUGACUCUCCACCAACAUGUGUCCUUCCUGAUUCUGUGGUGAAGCCACUGCCUCCAUCCAGUGUGAAAGCAGAAAUUACUAUAAACAUUGGAUUAUUGAAAAUAUCUUGGGAAAAGCCAGUCUUUCCAGAGAAUAACCUUCAAUUCCAGAUUCGCUAUGGUUUAAGUGGAAAAGAAGUACAAUGGAAGAUGUAUGAGGUUUAUGAUGCAAAAUCAAAAUCUGUCAGUCUCCCAGUUCCAGACUUGUGUGCAGUCUAUGCUGUUCAGGUGCGCUGUAAGAGGCUAGAUGGACUGGGAUAUUGGAGUAAUUGGAGCAAUCCAGCCUACACAGUUGUCAUGGAUAUAAAAGUUCCUAUGAGAGGACCUGAAUUUUGGAGAAUAAUUAAUGGAGAUACUAUGAAAAA